UUUAUUUUAAUUAAACCAUGGUAGAUGUCAGCAACAGUCCGUUAACAUAGUAAAUAAAAUAAUUAUUGGACUGUAUUUCUGUUGGAAAGCUUCAGGAUUGCCGGCAGCGACGACUACAGUUGAGAGGUUAGUCUUCCCACGGGAACUUCAAGUAAGGCAAUUUACAAUUUAUAAUGGCCGACAGUAACAUGUCAACAAUCAAAAAAGCAUAAUGGCCGACGACAGCAACAAUCAAAAAAGUAUAAUGGCCGACGACAGCAACAAUGGAUAAAGUGUAAUGGCCGACCACAGCAACAAUACGUCAACAAUGAAAAAAGUAUAAUGGCCGACCACAGCAAAAAUGACAGCAUUGUCUAUAGUCCAAUAACGGAUAUGUUUACAU